UUCCCUGGCAGUUUAGGGGCUAAGACUCUGUACUCCUAAUGCAGGUGGCCCUGGUUCGAUCCCUGGUGGGGAAA
rnacentral:tRNA from 1 species